rnacentral:rRNA from 1 species
UACGUAGGGUGCGAGCGUUGUCCGGAAUUAUUGGGCGUAAAGAGCUCGUAGGCGGUCUGUCGCGUCGAUCGUGAAAACUUGGGGCUUAACCCUGAGCUUGCGGUCGAUACGGGCAUGACUGGAGUUCGGCAGGGGAGACUGGAAUUCCUGGUGUAGCGGUGAAAUGCGCAGAUAUCAGGAGGAACACCGGUGGCGAAGGCGGGUCUCUGGGCAAUUCCUGACGCUGAGGCGCGAAAGCUAGGGGAGCAAACGGG